AAAAUGAGAGUUUGAUCCUGGCUCAGGACGAACGCUGGCGGCGUGCCUAAUACAUGCAAGUCGAGCGAGCUUGCCUAGAUGAAUUUGGUGCUUGCACCAGAUGAAACUAGAUACAAGCGAGCGGCGGACGGGUGAGUAACACGUGGGUAACCUGCCCAAGAGACUGGGAUAACACCUGGAAACAGAUGCUAAUACCGGAUAACAACACUAGACGCAUGUCUAGAGUUUAAAAGAUGGUUCUGCUAUCACUCUUGGAUGGACCUGCGGUGCAUUAGCUAGUUGGUAAGGUAACGGCUUACCAAGGCAAUGAUGCAUAGCCGAGUUGAGAGACUGAUCGGCCACAUUGGGACUGAGACACGGCCCAAACUCCUACGGGAGGCAGCAGUAGGGAAUCUUCCACAAUGGACGCAAGUCUGAUGGAGCAACGCCGCGUGAGUGAAGAAGGGUUUCGGCUCGUAAAGCUCUGUUGGUAGUGAAGAAAGAUAGAGGUAGUAACUGGCCUUUAUUUGACGGUAAUUACUUAGAAAGUCACGGCUAACUACGUGCCAGCAGCCGCGGUAAUACGUAGGUGGCAAGCGUUGUCCGGAUUUAUUGGGCGUAAAGCGAGUGCAGGCGGUUCAAUAAGUCUGAUGUGAAAGCCUUCGGCUCAACCGGAGAAUUGCAUCAGAAACUGUUGAACUUGAGUGCAGAAGAGGAGAGUGGAACUCCAUGUGUAGCGGUGGAAUGCGUAGAUAUAUGGAAGAACACCAGUGGCGAAGGCGGCUCUCUGGUCUGCAACUGACGCUGAGGCUCGAAAGCAUGGGUAGCGAACAGGAUUAGAUACCCUGGUAGUCCAUGCCGUAAACGAUGAGUGCUAAGUGUUGGGAGGUUUCCGCCUCUCAGUGCUGCAGCUAACGCAUUAAGCACUCCGCCUGGGGAGUACGACCGCAAGGUUGAAACUCAAAGGAAUUGACGGGGGCCCGCACAAGCGGUGGAGCAUGUGGUUUAAUUCGAAGCAACGCGAAGAACCUUACCAGGUCUUGACAUCCAGUGCAAACCUAAGAGAUUAGG
rnacentral:rRNA from 1 species